rnacentral:rRNA from 1 species
GAUUAACGCUGGCGGGAUGCAUAACACAUGCAAGUCGAGCGGCAGCACUUCGGGUGGCGAGCGGCGAACGGCUGAGUAACACGUUGGUACCUGCCUUGAACUCAGGGAUAAGCACCGGAAACGGUGUCUAAUACCGGAUAUCCCAGUAAUGGGAAAGCUUCGGCGGUUCAAGAGGGGCCUGCGGCGUAUCACGCUUGUUGGUAAGGUAACGGCUUACCAAGGCUAUGACGCGUACCUGGUGUGAGAGCACGACCAGGCAGAAUGGGACUGAGACACGGCCCAU